ensembl:lncRNA
GUACGGCCCCGCCCACCUCAGUACGCACUUCCGGGUCGCCCGCUGUGGGACGCGACCGCCGGCCGGCAGGAGGCGCUGCGCCGGCCGCUGGGGCGGGAAGGGCGGUGGAAAUCAGUGGCGUGGAACCGUUCCGAGCUGUGAUCUGCUUUUGUGCAAUAGAGCCCUUGAAGCAUCAUUUACCAUAAUAUGAGAUAAAGCAGAGAAAGCACAUCCACAAAGCACUGAGGAUGGAAAUGUUACCAUCUAGGCACACUCUUGGCAAGUUAUAUUCCACACUUUCAGGAUUCUGCUGAUGUGUAUAUAUAUGCUGAAGAUGGCAGAGUAAGAAGACACGACUUUCUUCUGGAAUCUGUUUUCUGUGCUCCUAACAGGAGGAAAAAGAAUCUGUUUCAUAUAAUAAUUUUCCCUGUAAGUUGUCAGGCAGUGUGUAAAUAAGGCUUUUUUAUUAUUAUUUUUACAUACAACCAUGCUUGAAAUGUUUUUAUCUAAAAUACCCUAUAAUUUCUAACUCUGGAAGAGCUUCACAGAUAGGAGCCAUACUAUAGUUGAGGACUGUGAGUUAUUACUGAAAGUUAUUUUCUUUCCUCUGAACCUGUGGAUCAUCAAUUUAAUGAAGCAAGCCUGACAUG